AUGAGAUCCGUUUUUUCCUAUCUGCUAGUGGAACAAGACUUCCCUUCCUCUUUUCCCCCUGAAGCCCCCCCACCUCACCACAUGCUCAGCAGGGGAGCCUCUGGAGCAGAUUUGGCAGAGGGAUCUGUGGGGAUCUGCAGGGAACAGGAGAGGAAGGCAAAAUCCACUCACACCAUGCUGGAUACCAGUCCAUCUAAUGACAUGCAAGAAACCUACUUGGCAUCCACAGUAGGGAAAGCACAGGGAUCCUGCAGUGUGGUGAUAUCACAACCUGAGCUCCCAUCAGUCCCAACCACCUUGACCAAUGGUAAGGAUUAAUGAGAGUUGUAAUCCAACAUCUCCACAUCUCAAUUUAUUUAUUCAUGUACUCAUUUCAUGUAGAAAAUAAACCACCUAUAACCAAAAACGGGUCCUGGGUGGUAUACAAAGUUUAAAAUUACAUAUGAAACAUCACCAAGAAUACCAUCAAAUUAAGAGGAAUAAAACCAUUCAACCAGCUGCAAAAUGUCAUACUAUAAAAUGACUGGGAAAAUAAAAUAGGUUUAAGCUGGUGUCGAAACUAAUAAAGUGUUCAUGACUGCCAUAUCUCCCUCGGGAGGGAAUUUUCACAGUCUGGGUGCCAACACAGAGAAGUCCCUCUCUUUGUACAUGCAUGAUGCCCUAAGGAUCGAACAUAGCAAAGGACUUUCAUGGGCAAACCAUUGUUCUCUCUGCUAAGCCUUGAAUCUGUGGGCACACAGGUAGAAAUGGCUGCUUAAUUCCUAAGAUAUGGAAGCUCUUUGUGUACAGCUGCAAAAUACUGUACAUUUUUACUUAUUGUUUACAAAGGGUUGGAUCCAAUAUUAGUUCUGCUCAGAGGAGAUGCAUUUAGAUUAAUGGGCAUGCCUAACUUAGGUCCAUUGAUUUCAAUGGGUCUACUCUAAGUAGAACUUUGUUGGCUACAACCCUGUGAUUUAGGCAGAAAUUAAAGUUUGGGGCUGGGCUGGGAAACGAAAGCCAAACUGAACCGAUCUGUCAUUUGAAGGAGGGGGAAGCAAAGGACUGAAAAAUUGUUAUUUUUAUUUCUAAAUGCAGACCCAGGUUUCACUGGUGAAGUGAAGCCUAGCUGCUAACAGGCCACCCCCCUCCUUUCAUUUUCCUCUCUUUCUUGCGCUGCUCCUUUUACAGUGUCUUCAGGGCUAUUCUGCUAAUGGGGGGGGUGGCUGAAACUUACAUGUAUACAAAACGAAACUCUCUGCUACAUUUAAUCAUACAUUAAUAAAAGUAGAAGCGGUGGCUCAAAACUCCAGCACUGAAUAAUUAAAUUACAGUGAGAUUAACAUAACAUGCAGCCUAUCCCACUGUUGCAACAAAAGCACUGUUUGAAAAUAAAUAAAUAAAAACCCAGAGAAGGAGCAAAAUGACUCAACUUUCCUAAAUUCGUUCAAAAAUGCUGUUAAUGAAUUAAGAAAUCCUAUUAGCUACUUAAGAAGCAAAAAAAAUUGUUAUUUUUAUUUAGUAUGUAUGUAUAAAGUAUGUAUAUAACACUAAGUGUCAUCAACAUAUAGAAAUGAAAGAGACAACACACACACACAAACACAGCUUGCAUAGUGAAGUGAUAACUUUGAAGUAACUAUGCCAGAUCAGAUUGUUUGACAGAGCACAGUAAUGAUAUUUACUUCUUCUGUGAGAAAUAAAAUCACUAUGGUUUUUUUAAAUGGAUGCAGGAGAAAGACAGAAUGGGUAUCAUCGCUUUUGUAUCUGAAGAAGUGUGCAUGCACACGAAAGCUCAUACCAAGAACUAACUUAGUUGGUCUUUAAGGUGCUACUGGAAGGAAUUUUUUUUGUUUAUCGCUUUUCUAGGUUAGGAUUCCCCUCAUACCAACUCUCCUUCACACCAUUUCCAACCUACUAGAAUAAAAACAAACAAGCCCAAGUGUUAGAUUAUCAGUGCUUCUUUCCCAGUGCUUAUACUUUUUAUAAACAGUUGACAAAAAAAUAAAGUCACCAAAUAAGGAAUCAAGACUUGUUAACACAUAUAAUUUUCAAAACCACAAGUGGAAUAAAAGGCAGCAAUGCAGAAACUGUUACAGACUGCAGAUAAAAUUAUUCAAGUGUGCAUUCAAG
ensembl:lncRNA